rnacentral:rRNA from 1 species
CCCUUAGAUGUUCUGGGCUGCACGCGCGCUACACUGAAGCUAUCAACACGUUUUCCCUCCCUGAGAAGGGCGGGUAACCUUUUGAAUCAGCUUCGUGGUAGGGAUCGGGGCUUGCAAUUGUUCCCCGUGAACCAGGAAUUCCUAGUAGACGCGAGUCAUAAGCUCGCAUCGAUUAAGUCCCUGCCCUUUGUACACACCGCCCGUCGCUACUACCGAUUGAACGUUUUAGUGAGGCACUUGGACCGACGCAUCUCAGUUUAACCGCUGGUUUGUGUUGGAAAGACUUCCAAACUUGAGCGUUUAGAGGAAGUAAAAGUCGUAACA